UACGUAGGGUCCGAGCGUUGUCCGGAAUUAUUGGGCGUAAAGGGCUCGUAGGCGGUCUGUUGCGUCGGGAGUGAAAACUUACAGCUUAACUGUGAGCGUGCUUUCGAUACGGGCAGACUUGAGGUAUUCAGGGGAGAACGGAAUUCCUGGUGUAGCGGUGAAAUGCGCAGAUAUCAGGAGGAACACCAAUGGCGAAGGCAGCUCACUGGGACGGUAUUGACGCUGAGACGCGAAAGCGUGGGGAGCAAACAGG
rnacentral:rRNA from 1 species